rnacentral:lncRNA from 1 species
CGCCCGCCGCCUCCUGGGGCCGCUCUCCACUGCGAGUCCGCCGGGACUAACCGGGCGUUUGCGAGAGGGGGUGCGUCCAAGGGCCCCUCCCGCGUGUCCGGCGCCCACCUUUGGCCCUGAGGGCCGAGUGGGGAGCCCCACGACGCUAUUACAGCCUUUCAGAUGCACGGACUGGGAAACUGGGGCUCAGAGAAGUCAAGUGGCUCGCCCAAGGUCACCCAGCGAGUGAUCCUGGGAAGAGGGGACAAGGGCCGAGCUGGAGCUGGGAAGGGCGCCCCAGUUCGCCCCAGUCGCGCUCUGAGGAAUAGCAGCGGGACCGCCCUGCUCUCUAAAGCUUCCUGGACUUCUCUAAGUUAUGUCGCGUUGCUGUCCCCUCGUACUUAUAAGAGAGUAAGGCAGGGGCGCCGUCCUUUCUCCGCGCCUGAGCUCAGAGCGCCAACCUCCUGAGAUCCGCCAGCUCAGAGGUCGGUUACAUAAAAGCGCGUGCCCUUCUGGGCGUCUUUGUCAUCCCGACUUGCUCCUGGGUUGUCAUUCUCUUAGGUCAUAAACCGGCUGUGCCUGGACACAGCUGAGUGAGCCGCGUCUGAGCUCAUCCGCUCCUGGGGAGAGGCCCUGGGACGCCCCGCCUGUCGGUGGCAAUGCUCUCUGUCCCCUUCCGCCCACCCCCAACCCCCAGCAAAUGCUCUCCAAGGCCAUUUCAGAUUUCCCGAGGCAUGUGGAAUAAACGUCCCCCAGGAAGGCGAAGGACUCCAGUCCUUGCCCUGCCAUUUUUCCUGCCUUCAAACAGCCAGCUCAAGUCCCGGCCUCAAUGUCACCUUCCCUGGACAGCCUCUCAGGACCUCCCUGGCAAAGCAAGUCACAAGUCCCUUCUCUGUGUCCCCCCAGCUUGGUCAGAGGUCAUUCACAGACAGCUGUAAUUCUGUUUUCAGUAGACCAUGAGCAUCAGGGACAGAGUUUGAGUUUUGUUUUUGAGGGGGAAGGUCACCAGUGUGUAGUACAGGGGGCAGGGAUGGAGGGUACUGGAAAUGUCUCUUGGAGGAAUAAGUCAGUGGCAUACCACUCUCAGCCAAUAGCCUGAGGACAAUCGCCACAGUCCCCCAGGCAGCCCCCCCGCACUCCCAAUGCAAAUGGAGGCAGCUUUACAAACCCGAGGGGAGUGGGAGGUGGUAGAAAUCUUGGAAGCUCUAAGUCCCAGACCCGAGUACUCAACUGCCCUCACUCUCAAGGCUCCACUCCUCCCCCGGCUAAGGUGUCAUUUCAGAGUCCCCAGUAAGAGUCUUCUUCAUGGCUCUCUUCAGUCUCAACUUGCAAGAAGCAGAAAAAUGGCACAGUUAAAAGCAAAGCCUCUGGGGUUAAACAGCCUGGAUUUGGAAUCAUGGAUCUGCUGCUCACUAGCUGUGACCUUGGGCAAGUUUCUUCACCUCAGGGUCCUCAUCCGUCAAGUGGAGAUGACAACCAAACUUAUUUCAUAAGAAGUUCAUGAGAAUAAAUAUGUUAACUCAUAAUGAAAUACCCAAAACAGCACUCUGCCUAUCGGAAAUGCUGAGCUGAUCUUUGCUUUGGGUUUUUUCCGGCUGCAAGGCUGUCCUCUGGGCCUUCUGAGCCUCCCUCGCCUUCCCUUCAGCUGUAACUCCAGGGAUGCUGGGCAGACACCCAUCUGUGGACUCCUCACUGCUGGUCGUGGUGCUUCGCCCCGGCCUGGCCAACUGAGUGAAGGACCUGUGACUGUCGCACCUCUGUUUCUGACCUGGGCCCAGCGUCAGGCUUGUAGGCUGCUUGUGGCUGCUCUUCUCAAUCCCAGGUAGCAAUCUGGAACACUCCUGACUGGCUCUUCAUCCCUCCCUGAUCUGAGUUGGCAGUCAGUCCACCAGCAGCUGUGGAGGAGGGCUAUGCACUGGGAAACUGACAGCAAGGGCACUGAAUCUUCUGCUCCAGACCCUCCUUCUCCGAGAACCUUCCAAGAAGGCAGGUGCCAAACGCUGUGAGUGCUCAUGCAGGGUCCUCCGGGGAGGAGGGAGAUGAAUGUCUCUGUGAGAUGCUCAGGAAAUUGUCCCCACCCACCAACCUGGCUGAGCCGUUGGCUGUGGGGCACCUCCAUGCUGUGCUGCACACUCCGCUCAUCUUCAUGAGAUCACCUUCCUGCAGGCGCUAACCCUCUGAUUCUUUUGAAAAGGAGAAAUCAGGUCUUGGGAAAGCCGGUGAUUUUCCUACAAGCAGCUGCAGGUAGUAUUCACACUCAGGUCUUUUGGCUUCCAGGCCAAAAGAGGUCUCUCUAGAAUACACCAGUACUCACUGAGCACAUACUAUGUGCAGAGACUGCUCUGGGUACAGGGGACAUAGCCAUGGACAGAACAGACUUCUCCAAAGGCCCUUAAGGCCAGGGCACUGGGGCUGCUUACUCCAUCUGCAGAGUUUGUGGUUAGACUGACCAGGCGCUCAGGUCUGGACGGGAAGCCCCGCACUGCAAUAAGGAACUGUGGCUGCUCUUUCUUCUCACAUCCAGGUCUGGGACUAGCUUCUCAGCCCCAGAGACAAAAGGGUACUUCCCAAACCCACCCCACUCAGUGACACUGGGCCAUCUCUGAGAACACAGCAAGUCCCUGUGGCCCCAGCCCACUGCCAUAGCGCUGUCUGCCAGAAUCCACACCUGCCUCCUCUUCACCCACCUACUGACUCCUGGAGAGAGAAAGACAAGUCCUUGGCCUUUAUGACACUAACUGCAAUAAGUCAGACACAGCUGCAGCAAACUCAGUGUCAUCAGAGGAGACACAAAAUGUAGGGAGUGUGUCUAUGAGGAAGUUUUCAUAUUUGCUGCUCACACUACAAGCUUCUCACUGCUGUUCACACCACAAGCUUCCUCUUCAUUUUGUUUAAGAAAGGUGGAUCCUAUCCCAGUUACUCCAAAACUCUGCAGUGCCAUACUGUGAAAUCCUAAUCCGACUGUACCAAAGGCCAGAGAGACCUCGGCUUGGCCCCAGCUGCCUUGCUUACUAUCCUCCUCACAGGAUCAUUUUGAGGUUGAAAUUGAAGCAUUAAGCUCACAUAGGCACCAUGUGCAUUUUAAAGCUUUUCCACUCUCUGUCCUCUCCACCAGCAUUGUUUGUGCUCCUGUUCACACUUAACACAUCUGGUCCUCGUCAUCUGUGGACCCCUUUGCCUUCACACUGUCCUCAGAGCCUGCUCAGCUGCCCAGCCCCAGUGCCUGGUCCAGAGGUCAGUUCACAGCAAGCACUCAGCAUUCAUUCUGGAUCCGUGUCUCCCAAAAUGCAGUCCCGGAACAGCAAUGCUACCCAGCCAUCUGAGGCCAAUUCAUUUGUCAUGUAAGGCAGGCACCAAAAGAUGGCACAUCCUUACCUAGAAAUCAGUCAUUUAUGUGUCAGGGAGGAAGACAAGAGUGUUCACUCUGAUCCCUGACUCCAGUCAGUUACAGCAGGAAAUACUUUUUCAAAACUUGUAACUGUGGCUGAAAAGCCUUGACACAAGUGGGGGAGGACACAAAGCAACUCUUCAAAGUUGGGAGGCUUCACACAGUUCAAAGCCCAGUGUAGAUCUGGAGUGCCUUCACCAAGGACUAUUUGGUCUAUGAGUGGCUCUCUUGUAUUUUACUCAAACAAGCUCCAAAAAACUUCCUCAUUCAGGUAGUCACAAGCCACCACUUUUUAGAGAUGAGGAAACUGUUGCUCAGAAGGUUUAAGUGACUCAGAGAUAGUAAGUGGAGAAUUGGACACAUGCUUGCAUGCACAUACACAUGCACACGCACGCGCAUGUGCGCACACACACACAAACACACACUCCACCCAAUGUGAGGAUGGAUACAAUCAGACCUUCAAUCCCAGUCACUCACAUACCUGAAGACACCUGUCUUUCUGUCUCUGUAUCCAUCUGCCCUGCAAAUCUAUACCCUCCUGUCAGUAUUUGGUGGAUGGAAACCUCAGUUUCUCUCGUCAGCUCUCUUCUUUGACAAGAGAAUCGAGCCAUCCUGGCUCUGUCUUUCUGCAGCUUAAAAAAAUAAAAUAAAUAAAUAACCACACACACAGAUAUUGUGCACACACCCCCUAGUGGCCACAUGUGGAGGCACAUGCCCCACAAAGUUUGCGUUGGGGUUGAUAACCACUUGAGUUUGAGAAGGAAACCCCAGAUAGGAUUGCAACUCCAUCCUAGGAAGGAGGAUGGUGAAAGAUGAUCUUAUGUGGAAGACAGUGAAAAUGGAAAAAGACAAAGAAAAGGGGAGGAGAAAGAAAAAUGUGAUGGAGAAAAAGAAGGCAGGAGAACCAAAGGAAGAUUAAAGAAAGGUAUAUAGAAUAGGAGGAGUGAGAGAAAAAAAUAAGGCAAGCUUAAAGGAGGGACGUUUCUCAAUGUGAAGUCUUUCUCUAUUUCAAAUAUAAGCACAAAAAGUAAUGAUGGAAAAUAAUGCGAAUUGGUGUGUCCAGGGUCAGCUGGCCAUCCUGUACACAGGCAGGUGGGGACAGACGAGCCAAGGAUGAGAGGUGACAGGGCCCGUAUCUGACCCCGUCACUGCCUGACUUGGUAAUAUUUUCAGAAUCCAAAGCUUUCUCUGUCCCUAUUUCUGAGCUUGUAAAGGGUAGCUAAUAGCAGUUGUUUGUUGAGUUCUGAUGAGAACAAUAAAGAUUUGCAGAGAAAACCCUGAAAAGUGCUCUAAGCUCUUGGACAUAACCAUCACAGAAAUGUGUUUUGUUAUUUUGCUCAAUGCAGCAAAAACCCUCCAUCCUUUGCUUCCUGGUGUAAAAGGUUAUAUGUGAUGCUGGAGUGCCAAAGUACUUGGUGUAUUUCAACAGUGCAUCAAGUUAUCACCACCUCUGGUGCUUUGGAAGAUGCUGUGAUUUGGAAAGCACUGUCGAAAUGUAAAACAUUAUUGCCACAGUAGUAAAAAUAUCCGUGUCCAUCUCCUAGUCCACUAUUUCUUGUCAGGAUGCAUAGAGAUACACAUGAAACAAUUCUGUACACAUUAGUAGAAUGUUUUACAGCAAAACUGCACAUAUCUGAGUUUGGCAAAAUAAUCAGAAACAAAAUAUUUCUGUCAGUGUCAAGUUACCCUUAGUGUCCGAACAGCUACCAAGGGGGUGAUAAAGUGUUUAGUGCCCACUGCAAAUGUGAACACAUCCGGGUUUCAUAGAAAAAUGCCAGCUUGGGCUUGUGUUUUUCUUUAGUUAAGAAAGGAAGAAACAAACUUAACAAAAAUGGCUGUGGAAAAAGAAUGGACAUAAAGCUGAGAUUGUGGACUUAAGUUAGAUCACUGAAUUACAAGAGAAACAUUUUUUCUCAAAAUCAAAGUCGACUUUUGUUGGUGACUCAACUGCAAACUCACUGAACGUCUCUGUGAAUUUCAUUCUUUGGCGUUUCUCUAGCGUAGCACUAGCCUUCCCACUAAUAUCAGCCCUCAUCACCACCAUGUCUGGAUUUAUACCAAGAGGAGACACAAUGCCUCAAAAUCCAUUGCUUGUUGUUAAUGGAGAGAUUGCGGUUACUGGUUAUACCUGGGCAACCUCGAUCAACUUUAUCACACCUCUAAUGACAGCUGGCAUGUGCAACGCUCCAGCUUCCUCUGGCAAAUCUUAUCCUGAGAGCAAAUUCUCUCUCAGUCUUCGUAGCCAUACCUGUUGGUCUGCAAGCAUUAGCAACUUAGAUAUACAGACUAUCAUGAUCUGUGCACAGUUCAAGAGUAAGUUACCCUUGAGCAUAUGGCGGUUGAGGCCACAAGUUAAGGAGUCUGAUACCACUGUGCGCCUGCCCCUAAUAAUCUGGGAGCUUUGGGGCAAGGCAGCCUCUUUGUGCCUCUCUUUCUGCACUUGCAAAAUGAAGGCAGUAUUACCCCCUCCCCUGCAAACAGUUACUUUAGGACCUCCAUGAGUGGCAUGUAUUUAAAGUGUUUAUCACAGAACCUGACACGCCAGGGGCAUAGAAUGGGUGCAGCAUCAGUAGAGCAGCACUGUCCAAAAUUAAUGUGAGCCACAUGUUUAAUUUUAAAUUUUCUAGAAGCCAGUUGACAAUGUGAAAAGAAACAGAUGAAGUUAGUUUCAAUAGGAUUAUUUAAUCCAAUGUAUCCAGAAUACUGUUUCAAUAUAUAAUCAAUAAUUUUAAAAUA